AUCUGGGCGGCGGAAUUCAGGACGGUCGGGCGGGUCUCGCGCUCGUCGGGCCGUUUGAUAUUUCCGUCGCCGUGUCAGACGUCGCGACCUGUUCGUCGUCGGUCCUUGCUCGGAGGAAGCGCGAUCGAGUUCGUUGCGGGCGCGCUUCGGUGCGUUCCGCGGCGAAGACGCGACUCUCUGGCUGACGACGGACAGUAAGCAACGGUGUCCGGCGUCGUGUCUCGCACUCGACGUCGGUGCCGGUCAGCGACGAUUUCUUCGGGCCUCUUUCCGACCCGUCUUGAAACACGGACCAAGGAGUCUAACAUGCGCGCGAGUCGCGGGGUUUCGAGCGUGCCACGGUGCGCUCGUUACUUCCGAAACCCGUACGUUGAAGGCGUAAUGAAAGUGAAUAGGGAAGAUGGCGUUCCGAGUCCACGUACCGUGAUCGAGUAUCGCGGCCGGACGUCCGCACUCCCGGGGCGUCUCAAUGGCUCGCCACGAAUGCGGACGGUCGUCUCUCGGGGCGGCCGUCGGUCUGUGGCGGUCCGA
rnacentral:rRNA from 1 species